CGAAUGAGUCUGUCAGACAACUGCGUGACCUUCCCAGCCGCCCAAGGCUAGCUGAGAACGAUCCUCUGCGGUCAAAGUGAAACCAGCAAGGGAAUCACCAGACCAAUAAUCACGCUCAGGUCACACAGUCCUGGUUCAUCAACCAGACUUGGAAUCCUGUCUCCUUUGAGCUUAAGGACACAGAGGUACGAGCCUAUAGAACAGAUCCUGUUCAAGUAAGGUCGUAUCCUUUCAAAUCUUGAUUCUGUUUUAAAUACCACUGGAUUAUGUCUUUUCUUUCCAAUGUGGGAUACUGAUCAGUUUCUGAUUCCAUAAUCUCUGGUCGCCGCAAUGUUGGAUCCAUUCGACUUUUUUUUUUUUAGAGUUAUCAACACAAUUAAAUAUAUCUAUUAAGGCCUGAAUAGAAUAUUUGUUUACCGUAUUACCCAGCUAUUAUAAUAAUUUUGAUUACCCAUGGAUCAUUAACCUGUCUAAUGCUUUCUUCACAGCUUAUAGCCUUAAACUUGAAUUCGUUCUUUUAAAUCAUUAUGUAUCCAUGUGAUUAAACUAAUGGGAAGUGAAUGCAGAUGCAGCAGUCAAUGGUGGUGGUAAUUUGCUGCGUUUUUACACAAUGUAUUAUGUGAUUGGAAGGUGGUUUCGUAAGUUCUGAAGAACGGUGGUCCAGACCAGAGAUCCCAGAGGCAGUACAAAUAACUCUCGCAUGUUCUUAGAACACUUAGAAUGCCAUGGGAGCGCUUCAUUAAUGCCUUCAGUUUUGCCUUUGCCUGAAGAACUAUGUAACCCAGGUUUGUAUUGACAAACGAACUCAGAAAGGAAAAAAGAAAGAAAAAGAAAAAGAAAAAGGGUCUGUCAAACAACCGUGUGACCAGCCCAGCUAGACAAGGCAAGCUGAGAACGAUCCUCUGCGGUUAAGGUAGACCAGCAAGGAAUCACCGCACCAUCAAUCACGCUCAGAUCACACAGUCUCGAUUCAUCAACCAGACAUAGUAUCCUGUCUCCUUUGAGACUCAAGGAUAUAGAGGUGCGAACCUAUAGAACAGAUCCUGUUCAAGUAAGGUCGUGCCCUUUUGUGCCUUGGUUCUAUUUUAAAUACCACUAAACUUUGUCUUUCCAUUUCGAUGUGGUUCCGCGUUUUAUCCUACACGUGCCUUCCAUACUGUCUGGCUGGCACAAUGAUUGGGAUCCAAUGAACAUGGUUAAAUAUAUCUAUUUAACCCUAAACAGAACAUUGUUCAUUAUAUCACCCUCACUAUUACAAUAUUUCUUAAAUGAUUGCCUACCGAUUAAACUAAUAAAGAAACUAUCUGAAGGAGAUUAUUCUUCAGACAACCGAUGGGAAGUGAAUGCAGACGCAGCAGUCAAUGAUGACGGUAAUUUGGUAUGUUCUUAUACUAUUGUUAGGUGAUUGGAAGGUGGUAUGAUAAUUUGUGAAAGAAAUUGUGGCCCAAAGAUCCCAAAGGCAGUACAAGUUGUUGAAGUUCAUAACUCACAAACAACUAACCCAGGAUGGUCCCUUAUUACACUAGAAUGCCAUGUUCUUCUUGUCAUGCCAUUGAAGAGUUAAGUUUGCCUUUUACCUGCAGAAUUAUGUAAUAUAUAUAUUGCUGGAUUAAACCAGGUUUUCCUAAUUAUCAACCCCUUUUCCAAGUUCGAUUUUGCAUAUUAUGUAAAUAUAGAGGAAACCGUAGGGAGAUCCAUGUUUAUAGAAAAAGAUAAGGUGAGAGGUACAUGUAUGAAUGCUGAGAUUCAAGACAGGAUUUAAUUCGUUGUAGGCCCCCAAAGUGUUUUUGGGAUAUUUAUUGCCGUGGGCUAGAAAGAAAGGAUUAUAUAUUGUUUUUGUCAAUAUAUGGAGAAGAAAAUCGUAUUGUAUAUGUUGACACCAUUUUUUUUUGUUUAAAAACGAAGUCGACUUGGGUUUUGAAAAAUGAAACGGGAGUCGCCACCAAUCCUUUUUUAUGAGGUGUGAUUGGAUCACCUCGAAAAGUUGUUGUUUUUAAUAAACAGUUUGAUUUUAUUAAAACAAGUAGUUUGGUCCACGAAAUUCAGAAAAACGGGUUCGGGAGUCGGUUACGCACGAGGAAGGAUUAGCACCCUCGUAACGCCCAAAAUUGGUACCUAGUUGAUUAGUUAAUGUCUUAUUGUCGAAAAUUGAGAACUUUGAAGAAUUUUUUAAAAAAUACGAUCUUUGUAUUAAAACGUUAAAAAUUUUAGGAAAAUGGGCAUAUUUCAUGUUAUUCGAGAAAGAGAAUCAUAUCCAGUAAGUUAUGACACAAUAUCUCGAAUUCCCAAUACGCGAAUGAAAAAUGUUUAUUUAAAAGAUAUUUAACUAUCUUGGAUUAAAAAAGGGAUCACAACCAGUAAGUUAGGACACGAACCUUUUUUAAUUCCCGACAUUGUUUAAAACUUGAGUUCAAAAAUAUCCGUGUAUUUAGAUUUAUUGUGAAAAUCGAAACCCAGUAAGUUAGGGUACGAUUUUUCAGAUAUCUAAACACGAGAUUUAAUUUAUUUGAAACAGAUUUUGAUAUAUCGGGUAAAAUGAAACACGAUACUAAUAUGUAUUGCAAUAUAUAUAAAAAAACAUAUGUAUAUGAAUUAUAAAAUAUAGAAAAUACGUAAGAAAAAUAUAGAUUUUGAAAUAUAAAUAAUAUGUAUAAGUAUGUGUAUAUAUAUAAAUAAAAACACGUAUGUACAUAUGUAUAUAUAUUAUGAAAUACAACCAUAUAAAAGUAUAAAUAUGUAUAUAUACAUAUAUAAAAAAAAGGGUAUGUGCAUACAUAUAUAUUACAUAAAAAUAAAAGAUAUAAGUAUGUAUAUCGUAAAAUAAAACAAUGUAAGUAUGUAUAUAUAUAUAAAAAAUAGACGUAUAUACAUGAAUGAUGGAUAUAGACGUAUAUGUAUGUAUAUAUAACAAAAUGUAUGCAUGUAUAUAAGCUAAAAAAUGUGUUUAUAAAGAGAUACGUAGAUAUAUAUAAUAAGAUAUAAAUAUAUACAUAAUAAGAUAUAAAGAUAUACAUAAAUAGUUAUAAUAGUAAUAAUAAUAGGACAAAUAUAUUCAAAAUCUAAAUAAGUAAAUAUAAAUAAUAUAUAACAAUAACAAUGUAAAACUAAAUGGUAUAAUAAUGGUAACGUAAAUAUACAUAUAUAUAAUGAGAAAAUAUAAUAAUAAUAGUUAGAUUAGUUAAUAAAACAACAAAAAUAACAAAAUGGGCCAAUUUGGGAUAAAAAUAAAAUUUAAAGGUUAAGACUAUAAUAAAAUGCGCAGAGGAGGACCAAAACAGAAGGGCGCGAAAGGGCGAAGGACCGAAUAGGGAAAUAACCCCUCGCUUAUUAAACGGCGCCGUUCUAGCAUGGUCUGUGCAUAAGGUCUAUGGACCAAAUCGCAAGAAAAAAAGGAUAUUUGGGGAAAUUAAAACAAAUAACAAAAAGGGGAUAGGACCCAAUUGUAAACGGCCUCAAACGUGGAAGGACUGAGGGUGCAAAUAACCCCUCUAGUCCAAAAACACGCGGAUCCCAAGCAGUUCGGGUUGGGUCGGUCCAAUCUAGACCAAAACGACGCCGUUUUGGUGCCUAAAGGGCAUGCCCAAAACUGCGUCGUUUUGGGGGCCUAUUUAAAUAAAAAUUUUCUCAAAAACAAUUCAUUUUCAGCUUUAAUAAAAAAAACAGUCUUCUUUUCAAAAUAUCCUCUCCCCAGCCUCUCCUGACGCCGGCCAGCCUCCGGCCAUCACAGUGGCCGGAAAAUUCAAAAAAGGUAUUUUUAUUUCUUUUUUUAUUUUCUAUAUUUGUGUAUUUAUAUAUUUAUUGUUUUUUUUUAAAAGAGUGAAAUAAAGAAAGUAGAUAUAUGUAUUUUCGAAGGGGAAAACUAAAGAAAAAUAAAUAAAAAAAAUGAAAGCAGAGAUCUAAGCACCUUAUUUGCCUUGGAUCUAUUCAAAAUUUUUUGAUUGAUAUUUGUCUGUUACAAGAAGGAGAGAUGAAAAAAGAAAAAGCCCCCUGAAAAUACAAUCUUUUCCGUAUUUAUAACCGAAUGCUCCCCUUUAUUCUUUGCUCUGUUUUCUUGUUUUGUUUCGUCUUUGCAGGUGACGGCGCAAGUGGGCAUAGUGGUGAUGAACGCGGAUGGGAUGUCCGGCGGCGGUGGCGGCGACUGGCAGUAGGCCAAGAGUUAAAAGGCUAAGGGGGAGGCGGCACCUAGGGUUUCAGUCUCUGAAACCCUAAGCAGAUAUUUUUUAGGGAAAUUGGGCCGGUACAUUUGGGCUUCGGUUUGGGUUGUAAUUGGGGUUUGGGUUGUAUUUGGGUAGGCUUAGUUUGGGCUGGGCAAAAUUGGGCUUGUACAGCUGCCCCUCUUUGCUCGUUGUCGUGUAACGAGAACAAAGCAAAGACUAAGAAAGACCAAUUUUGCCCGGUCUCACCACGUCUUGACUUCUUUUGAUGCUUCUCUUCAAGUAGCUUCACUCCAGUCCACUGUGUCUUGUUACUUCGAUCCACUCCACUGUAUUUCAAAGAAAUCUGACUUGUAGCUUCGAUCUUCUUCGCAGCAACUUAGGGGGAUGAAGUUUUUGGUUUUAGUCUAUUCCUCUGCAACUUCAGGGAUAUAAGACUUGACGUUCGUAGCUUCAAUUUGCCCCACUGCAACUUCAGGGAAGUAAGACUUAUAUAUUGAACCUGUUCCACUGCAACUUCAGGGGGAUAAUGUUAGUGACUUUAAUCCGCUCCAUGCUUCAACCUAUUCUGCUGCAACUUCAGGGAAAUAAGAUUUGACAUGAUAAGAAUCGUUAUCUACUGUCCGCUCCACUACAACUUUAGGGAGACACGACUUGUUGUUUUCAGUCUACUCCACUGCAUCUUCAGGGAAAUAAGACUUGUACCUUCAACCUACUCACUGAAACUUCAGGGAAAUAGGAUUCGUAGCCGAUCUGCUCCAUGCUUCAACCUAUUCUGCUACAACUUCAAGGAAAUAAGAUUCGACAUGAUAAGAACCGCUAUCUGCUGUCUGCUCCACUACAACUUUAGGGAGAUACGACUUGUUGUUUUCUGUCUACUCCACUGCAUCUUCAAGGGAAUAAGACUUGUAUCUUCAACCUGCUCCACUGCAACUUCAGGGAGAUAAGACUUAUAUUUUAACUUGCCCCACUUCAACUUCAGGGGUAUAAGGUUAGUGACUUCAACCUGCUCUACUGUAACUUCAGAGAGACAAAGUUUGAUAUGAUCUGCUCUAUUGCAACUUCAACUUGCCCCAUUGCAACUUCAUGGGGAUAAGGUUUGUUAUUUCAACCUGCUCUACUGCAACUUCAGAGAGACAAAGUUUGAUAUGAUCUGCUCUACUGCAACUUCAGAGAGACGAGAUCUGUUAUGAUAGAUUUAAUCCGUUCCACUGCAACUUCAGAAAAAUGCGAUUUGCUAUCUUUAAUAUGCUCCACUGCAACUUCAGGGAGAUAAGACUUGUACCUUCAACUUGCCCCAUUGCAACUUCAUGGGGAUAAGGUUUUUUAUUUCAACCUGCUCUACUGCAACUUCAGAGAGACAAAGUUUGAUAUGAUCUGCUCUACUGCAACUUCAGAGAGACAAGAUCUGUUCCACUACAACUUCAGGGAAAUGCGAUUUGCUAUCUUUAAUAUGCUCCACUGCAACUUCAGGGAGAUAAGGCUUGUGUUUUCAAUCUGCUUCCUAUCAGUACAGAAAGAUAAGGUCUGUCGUUUUUAGUCUGCUCCGCUGCAAACUCAGGGAGGUCAGGCUUGUGUCUUCGAUCUGUUUAACUGCCAGUACAGGAAAACAAGAUCUACAAUCUUCGACCUACUCCGCUGCUGCUCAGGGAGAUGAGACUAAUGGCUUAAAUCUGCUUUCUACUAUCUUGGGAAGAUAAGAUUCACCGUCUUCGAUCUGUUCCACUACUGCUCAGGGAGAUAAGAUCUGCAAUCUUCAACCUACUCCGCUACUGUUCAGGGAGAUAAGACUAUUCUUUAAUCUGCUUCACUGUUGGUAUAGGAAGACGAUAUCUGCUACUUUUAGUCUGCUCUACUGUAAACUCAGGGAGGACAGACUUGUGUCUUUGAUCUACUUCGCUACCAGUAUAGGAAGACAAGAUCUGCUGCUUUUAGUCUAUUCCUCUAUAAUUUCUGAGAGAUAGGACUUGGUAUGACGACUUCAAUUCAUCCCACUGCCACUUCAGAGGUAUGGGUAACUUCAUUGAUCUGUUCUCUGGGGAACAUGACCUGUAAAGUCCAUUUUAUGAACUUAUUUAUGCCUAAUGAUUAGGCUGUUAUGAUUAGAACGAAUCAAAUGCUCCUAACUAGGUGUGUAUGAUUGAUAUUUGUAUAAAUGAAGAAUGUCAUGAGAAUGAUCCCUUUUUAAUGCUUAGGUUAUCAUCACGCAAAAGCUUAUUAAGGCUUUAUCACUGACGUGCUACAACGCCUUCUUGCUCGGCUAGUAUAUCCAAAGAAACACUUAAUCUGAUUGCCCCCACUGUAAACCUCCAAGUUCAAUCCACUGGAUGCAAAAUUUGAAUCAUCUUUCUCCCGUUGUAACCCAAGGGUACAAAGAUCUGGCCUUUUCUCGAUCCUCUGCUAUCACAAUUCAAGUAUACAGAAUGUGAAACUCUUUUGUCUCCUACACCAUUCCCCAGGUGUUAUACCAAAUGUUUAUGCACAAUUGUAAAAUUUUCUUCUCCCAGAAGACCUUUUCUUAUUGCUUGGUGAACAUCGCUUGUUUGUUCAUUGAAACUCCAGUCUCUUGUCAUUUUGUUCCAUCAAUGUUUGGACAACAAAAUUUGAAAGGAUAGUCUUUAACUUAGACUCUUCCUUCUUAGAUAUUUCACCUUUUAAACUUGGUGUGUUCUAAACAAUAGUCUUGUUUCAAGUUCCAAUAUUAUUUAGAAACUUCUAGAGUAAUAUGAAAAAAUUCUCUUGUGAAAGUAUUAUUAGUCCAUUAAUCAUUAUUCUAAUACAACAUGCUAGCAAAAAGAUCAUAGCAAUGGAUAAUUAUAGAAUUGAUUUGAAAUCAUAGCUUGAAAUGAAUAAAUUAUCAAGAAUAAAAGAGGAAUUGAUUGGGAACAUGUACCUUGAAAAAUAAAUAAGUAAUCCAAGAAUAACAAAUUCAAUAUAAAUAGUAUGAGGACUAGAUUCCCCAGAUAUCGCAGCUUGAACUUCUCUGUACAAACUCUUUGAAAGACCAUUCUGAGUUUGACAUGUGUUUGGGAGAUCUAAAGGAGUUUGUUGAUGCCCCAAGAUGUCCCCUACCCUUUCCUGUUGAUUCAGGUAUAGCAAGAUCACCACAUGCCCCGGUUUGAUCAAAAUUUGAGCUGCUUUGAUUACCUCAUGCCCCAAUCUGAUCAAAAUUUGAGCCGCUAUGAUCGACUCAUGCCCCAAUUUGAUCCAAAAUUUGAGUCGCCAUUUUCGGGUUUUUAACUCAAGCCCCUUUGGUCUCAAGGCGCCCUUUGUGGGUUUUCACCUUGGCCUCUCCUUUUCCUUUUUUCUUUUUCUUUUCUCUUUUUUUUUCUUUUUUUGAAUCUGAACUUAUAGGAUUAGGCAUGUCUUUGUUAUCUCUUCCGAUCAAGAUUGACAGUUUUCCAGAUAAAGCCUUCCACAUACGGUCCUUUCCAUCUUGCCAUGAAGUUCUUUUCGUAUGGAAAGGAUCUUCUUCAAUACCAGGUCCCUCUAAUGGAAUUCUCUAGGGAAAACUUUUUUGUGAGCUCGUUGCUUUCGGCGUAUUUGACCAUGAUGGACAACUUUGAACAUUCCUCUUCAAUCGGGAUUGGCGCCAAAAACUCAGACAGAAGAAAAUCUCAACCUCAAUAGGUGAAACCGCGAUAAGCCAAAAAGGAAGACGUUGCCCCAGCAGAGUUUUUUUUUUGGCGAUACAGACUGUAAACUUUUGACUGUUGUUCAAAUUUAAUGCAUAGUCAGAUAUGAUCCUUUUUUGGCAUUCUAUACUAACAUAUGAUUUUUCAAGAAUUUGCUGACUGUCGACUUUGUGAUGUUGGCAUAUGAGGCAGCUUCCACCCACGAAGAUAAACUGAUGACCGCCAGACUCUUUUGGCGAGAUCGACCAAAUGACUUUCAUGCCCCACAUAAGGAAAAGUCGUGGAUUCCAAUGAUUUUUUAUAGGGUAGGAUCUGUUUUUCAUCUUGUUCUACCAUCUUCAAUAAGUCCGGAGAUAGACUACAAUCUAUGUCAUCGUCAAAGUCAUGAGAUCCCUCUAAACACAUGUCUCGCUCAAAAGGAGAUUCUGGGUCUGUAGCAAUGUCAUUCAUGUCGUUGAUAUUCAGGGACCUAUUGUAGGUAUAAAAGAAUAUACAAAGAAUAUAUGAAGUUAUGAAUAAUUAUCUGUACAGUAUGAUUAUGAAAGAUUGAUUUGGAAGAAAAUCCAGAAGAAUGAAAGAAUAAAAAAUAAUUACUCGUAAAGAAUGAAAGAAUAUUGGCUCAAAAAUGAUCGUAAAGAUGCAUUUCAUUAAAAUAAUGAUGUUCAAACAUAAGCCUAUUUCGCAAAAGAGUUCUUAUUGCCUCUAGGCUAAAAGCAACAAGUGUAUUCUGAAUAUUACUCUGAGUAAGCUCUAAAUACUACAGGAGUUUCUUUUACAGUCUAAUUAUUCAGAACACUCUCAAGUUUAUAAAGGCGGAUAUCUAACAAGGUCCCUUCUUCAGUUGCUUCUACAUUACAUUCACUCCACUUAUCAAUUAUGAUUGGGUAAUGGAUUUUCCACACUGGAGGAAUCAUAAAAUUUAAUGACGCCCAUGUUUAUAGAAAAAGAUAAGGUGAGAGGUACAUGUAUGAAUGCUGAGAUUCAAGACAGGAUUUAAUUCGUUGUAGGCCCCCAAAGUGUUUUUGGGAUAUUUAUUGCC
rnacentral:lncRNA from 1 species